GCUUUCUGUGUCCUCAGCGCAGGGAUCGGGCGCACAGGUACCUUCAUCGCCCUGGACUUCCUCCUGAAGAUGGGGAAGGCUGAGGGGAAGGUGGAUGUGUUUCACUGUGUGCAGCAGCUGCGGGAGCAGCGGGUCAGCAUGGUGCAGACCAAGGAGCAGUACAGCUUCCUGUACGAGGCGCUUCUCGAAGGCUUGCUCUGCGGCAGCACCGGGGUCCCACUGGAGAGCAUCGCCACCCUCGUCCACUCCCUUGGAGAAGCUGAGACCUCAGGCCACAACAGUGUCCUAGAGAAGGAGUUCAAGGCCCUGCAGAGAUU
rnacentral:lncRNA from 1 species